rnacentral:sRNA from 1 species
AUUCUGCCCAUGCGGGGAAGGAUGAGAAGCUUCGACUAAGGUUCGGCUCGAGCGUCAGCGAGAGAGCGUUGCCGCAGGCAACGACCC